rnacentral:rRNA from 1 species
GGUUAAGCGACUAAGCGUACACGGUGGAUGCCCUGGCAGUCAGAGGCGAUGAAGGACGUGCUAAUCUGCGAUAAGCGUCGGUGAGGUGAUAUGAACCGUUAUAACCGGCGAUUUCCGAAUGGGGAAACCCAGUGUGUUUCGACACACUAUCAUUAACUGAAUCCAUAGGUUAAUGAGGCGAACCGGGGGAACUGAAACAUCUAAGUACCCCGAGGAAAAGAAAUCAACCGAGAUUCCCCCAGUAGCGGCGAGCGAACGGGGAGGAGCCCAGAGCCUGAAUCAGUGUGUGUGUUAGUGGAAGCGUCUGGAAAGGCGUGCGAUACAGGGUGACAGCCCCGUACACAAAAAUGCACAUAUUGUGAGCUCGAUGAGUAGGGCGGGACACGUGGUAUCCUGUCUGAAUAUGGGGGGACCAUCCUCCAAGGCUAAAUACUCCUGACUGACCGAUAGUGAACCAGUACCGUGAGGGAAAGGCGAAAAGAACCCCGGCGAGGGGAGUGAAAAAGAACCUGAAACCGUGUACGUACAAGCAGUGGGAGCCUCUUAAUGGGGUGACUGCGUACCUUUUGUAUAAUGGGUCAGCGACUUAUAUUCUGUAGCAAGGUUAACCGAAUAGGGGAGCCGAAGGGAAACCGAGUCUUAACUGGGCGUUAAGUUGCAGGGUAUAGACCCGAAACCCGGUGAUCUAGCCAUGGGCAGGUUGAAGGUUGGGUAACACUAACUGGAGGACCGAACCGACUAAUGUUGAAAAAUUAGCGGAUGACUUGUGGCUGGGGGUGAAAGGCCAAUCAAACCGGGAGAUAGCUGGUUCUCCCCGAAAGCUAUUUAGGUAGCGCCUCGUGAAUUCAUCUCCGGGGGUAGAGCACUGUUUCGGCAAGGGGGUCAUCCCGACUUACCAACCCGAUGCAAACUGCGAAUACCGGAGAAUGUUAUCACGGGAGACACACGGCGGGUGCUAACGUCCGUCGUGAAGAGGGAAACAACCCAGACCGCCAGCUAAGGUCCCAAAGUCAUGGUUAAGUGGGAAACGAUGUGGGAAGGCCCAGACAGCCAGGAUGUUGGCUUAGAAGCAGCCAUCAUUUAAAGAAAGCGUAAUAGCUCACUGGUCGAGUCGGCCUGCGCGGAAGAUGUAACGGGGCUAAACCAUG